CGGACGGGUGAGUAACGCGUGGGUAACCUGCCAUAUACAGGGGGAUAACAGCGAGAAAUUGCUGCUAAAACCGCAUAAGCGCACGGAGUCGCAUGACUCAGUGUGAAAAACUCCGGUGGUAUAUGAUGGACCCGCGUCUGAUUAGCCAGUUGGCAGGGUAACGGCCUACCAAAGCGACGAUCAGUAGCCGGCCUGAGAGGGUGGACGGCCACAUUGGGACUGAGACACGGCCCAAACUCCUACGGGAGGCAGCAG
rnacentral:rRNA from 1 species